GCCAGUUAAAACUGAAGAGUUUGAUUCUGGCUCAGAUUGAACGCUAACGGCGUGCUUAACACAUGCAAGUCGAGCGGCAGCAUGAUCUGUAGCAAUACAGGUUGAUGGCGAGCGGCGGACGGGUGAGUAAUGCAUAGGAAUCUGCCUUGUAGUGGGGGAUAACCCGGGGAAACUCGGGCUAAUACCGCAUAAUCUCUACGGAGCAAAGUGGGGGAUCGUAAGACCUCACGCUAAAAGAUGAGCCUAUGUUGGAUUAGCUAGUUGGUGAGGUAAUGGCUCACCAAGGCGACGAUCCAUAGCUGGUCUGAGAGGAUGAUCAGCCACACUGGGACUGAGACACGGCCCAGACUCCUA
rnacentral:rRNA from 1 species